UCUGUGUUGGGCCACCAGGCUACUGAAGUGCUGUUAAUCCUUCAAGGCUCAUUUCAAACGCUCCCUGCUCCAGGACGCCUUCUUGGGUUGCUUCUUCCCUCUCAACCAGUUGUGACCUCUCCCUCGGUCACAUAUUCUCUUCAGGCAUCUGGCACUGGCUAGGUACCCCAAAACGCCGUUCCCUCCUUCCUCACCAGAACACCUUCUAUAUGUCAUUUACUAUGCUUAUACCGAACUUGUUUUAAACUUGUUUCUCCCAACAUUCCUCUGUCUGUCUGUCUCUCUGUCAUAAAAGCAGGAACAGGGUCACUCCGUACACUUUGAAAUUGAUCCCUAAAAUGUCCAAUAAUGUUCAGCAUCACGUGGCAGGCACUGUGAUUGACAUUUCAUCCUCAGAAAUUAGAGAUGUGCAGAAUCCAUGGCUUUGCUCAAGUCUUAUAUAUGAGAGCUGGGAUUCAUGCCAAGGUCAUUGGACGCCUGAAGUUCAGAGCUCUUAAGUUGUAUCAUAGUGGCUUUUACCUGGUAGGUAUACAAGGAAGAUGUUGAGUUGACUUUCUCUAUUAGUGAGCUGUUACUGUGUAUACCACUAAGGUUGCCUGUUUUUUGUCUGCCUAUUAAUAAAGUGUUUUCUGAACAGCAGAGAAAAUGUGUUUGUUCCUUGACUGGUUGCUUUCCCUGCAGAAUCUCUUCUUGAAAUAGAAUAUGACUGGUUUUUGCCAGUUAUCUGAGAGUUAGGGUGAUUUUUAAGGUAGGAAAGAGAAAUUUAAAAUCAAAAGUUUAGGUCAGAAUUUCUAAGGAAUGUCACACUGUCUAAGAGGGAGAAAUACAGAAGAAAAACACAACACAUAUGAGAGGUCUUUUGCCUUCGGGACCUUACAGUCUGGUCAGACAAGAAUGGCACACAUAAAAUCACCAAUCGCAUUUGCCAAAUAAACUCACGGGGGAUGUGAGUUGGCUGUGGUGGAAACACGCUGCUCUUCUUCAUGCAGAUAUUCAGAGACUCAGGGUCCUGUCUUAGGACAUCACCAGACCUCUAGCAGUGACACCUCCAGGGAGUAACUUAACCUCAUCUUUAAACUGCUUCGUAAGGUGGUUGCAAGGUUUAGAUGAGUUACUGCAGGUGUGGCACUUAGAACAGUGCUAGGGACGCGGCACUUGAUAAACGUGGGCUCUUAGCUCUACGCUCUGAACGUGGAACGGUAUGGACUCAUCUGCCGUGACUCUGGGCUCACGUGAUUUCUGUGCCUGGGUAGUAGGAGACCUCACAUGUGAACUCCGCCACUACACCUACGUUUCCCCAGUGUGAACAAGGCAUCACUGAAUCUCCCCAGCUGUGGGGAGCCCUUUUGGUUGUUUGGUUUGGUUUUGGGGCUAGAGCUGGGUUGCCAGCCCAGAGUGUAUAGGAUGAUGCCUGGACACUAGCCCUCGGAACAGUGAUUCUCCUUCUUGGGGACCCUCAGCACCUCAUCAGCUGCAUCUGACUCUAAUACCAGUCAGGUUUUUUCUCCCCAAGUCCAGGUUCUCUCCGGAACUUUUCAGUUGCCUCGACUGACUGAGAAAGCCCUACAGAAUACUCAGUCAGACGUACACAUUGGGUUCUUGAAGCCCUUCCCGUUGCCUCCUCUACCCGGGCAGAGAAGGGAGCUGAUCUCACAAGCCAGGCAGCCUUCUCGCCAUUUCCACACCUAGAUUUCAAAUCACACCCUUCUUCUCCACUGCAGGCCAACAAGCUCCUCUCUCAGUCCCCGGCCGGGUGUGGGUUCUUGUAGCUGUGAGACCUCAGUCGCUCAGGACUCUGGCAGCCGCUCGUCUGUUCUGUCUUCAGCUCUCCUGGCACCGCCGGAGAAUGGAAAAGCUGGUCUGUUUACAGGACAUAGGGCCAGAACAGCAUUAAAAACUAAGGAACAAAUAAGAUGUGGUAAACAAAUUUCCUUUCCAGUAAGGAGUGUUCCUAGCCCGGUCCUUCAACAGGAACCAUUUUCCUCAUGUGUUUGGAUAAACGUUCAUUCUGGGCAAUUACCAUUCCCAGGAGGGGCUGCCUAUUUCCGUUGGCUAUUUAUUUUGACUUUGACCGUUUCUCCCCCUUCUGAGCACCACACACCUAAUAGUAAAGAAACUCUGCUCCCUCUCGGGGCACUGGGAGCAACCCCCCAAGCCUGCCUUCUCUCGUCUCUUCCAUCACCCCUUCACUUCCAGACAAGGCAAGGACAUGGCGGGCAUCUUGCCCUGGAUGGCAGCUGUUCUCCGGGGAGAAGGAAGGAGGGAAGGAGGUGAAGCAGAGGAGAGAAAUGGUUUCAAAGAAAAGCUGGAACAGAUACAAAGGUUUAUGUGUGGGUGACCGUCUCUCUGAGAAAGCUCUUCAGCAUGAAUCCCCCUUGUGGGUUUUCGUGGGAGCAGAAAGCCAUUGAUCUCAGGUUUCCUGACCCCAGCAGGUAGCUUAUUGUAAAGCAGUUCAUCCAGAGGGGAAAAAAUACCUUGUUUCAGCAUUUUAAUUUUUUUUCCAGGGCUCUGAACCAGACUUGUAAGAAAGGAGAUAGAGAGGAUUAACUUAUUCUUUCCUAGCUCAGAAAUAGAUGUAACUGGCGGAAAAAAAAAAAAAAAAAAGAACCAAGCAACUUGGAACAAUGAUGAUUCUUGUUUACUUGUUUAGAAAUGCAUUGUUAUGAAGGGCCCCUAUUUGCAUAUUUUAAUUCCCCCCCCCCCUCCUCAUUCCCCCCUGCCCUGUUUUCCUUCUGUGCUGGGACAGAGGAAAGGAAGGCACACGCUAAGCGGACAGUGGUCAGUGUGGGUAACACAUUCUGCGUAAGUUCACUUCACUUUCUAAAUUCCUUGCCUUUGCCCGGUUGGAUGAAUUGGUGUUCUUGACGGUGCUGAAUUCGGAGAGGCCCUGAGAAGCGGAGCGGCGCUGACUCACGGACAAGACACGGGCUGGCUCUGGCUUUGGAGUCCUUAAGGCUGGACUCAGGGCGGCACCAGGAAGGGGCGGGGCGGGGGGGGAGGGUGCGCUCUGCCACCCCCCACAGCUUCCCCUUGAGCCCCAGCCUGCAAAUGGCCUUCCCAACUGCCACUCCCAAACCUUCUCCCAGAGACAUCCCAGAGCUGUCACAGGGUCACUUGUCCUGGGCUUUACCUGGGUCACGAGUUGGUGACGUGGUGAAGGGCGAAGCGAGACCCUUCGCCCCUUGGAGGAUGUUGGAGACACUUUCCUCCUUGGAGGACGUGGGCUUUCUCACGGCCCUGCCUUCUGAGGGCUGAAGGGUCCUUAUUCCAGGGGGUGUGAGACCCUCAUUAAUAAAACCUGGUUGGCGUGGGGAUAAUCCUGUUCGUGUGUGUUAAUGAGUGACGUGCACAGAACCACGUGCUGAGCCUCGAUCCCAAAACGUGCUGCUGGCUCUGUUCCUGGUGGGGAUGGGCCUUGGGUAGAACUUCUCCAGAGCACAGGAGGAGGUAUGUCUGAAGGUCCACCCCAGCCUGGUGCCCAGGCCCCUUUGAGAGCAAUGGGAGUUUCUAACUUAAUAAAAAUCAGUAUUCAACAAUCCGAUGCGAUGAGAGACUGCGGUCCCUGUUCGUGGACCUCGGUUUGGGGAAUGCUGAGGUUCAGGUGGAUCAAUUAAGCCACCCAACCUCCCUCGGCAAGUUGAUGGUGGGCAUUGAUGCGUCGGGCCUCUGGUCCCCACCUGGAAUAGAGCUCCCUGGAUGCCUAGAGGGUGGUACCUGCAGGGAGCGGAGGCCAGAGGAGGUAUCCGGAAAGCCUAGGAGGGAGGAAGGAUCCAGUCCAGGCAAAGUGCUGUAGACGCAAAAUCCAUUCAUGGUAGCUUCAUGCCUGCCGUCAGGGUUGGGCGCUCCAGGGUCAAGAAUGCUUUGAGUAAGAGGCACUGGGGGUGGACCAGCCCUCCCCCGGGGACGCUGGGCUCUCCAGGGUGGGGAAGACUUCAUCCGGGCUGCAUCCCAUUCUCGGUUCCGCUCUAUUUAGAACACUUUUUUUUUGGUGGAAAGCAGAUUGCUGAGGAGGAGAGCGCCCAGCCAGGCGGGGAGGUAGCUUCCAGAAUUGGGGCUGGAGGGAGGGAGAGGCAGAGGCGAAGACUCGCAGCAGGAUGUACCCGCCAGUAACCUUCUCACCUCUCUUCAUCUCGUCCCCGUCCAUCACUUUCCCCCUCCAGCCCAGCAGCCCAUCUCUGGGCAGAGCUUACGGAGGCAAGGUAGCAGCACCUGGAACUGUCUUCCGUCUUGCAAAGUGACACAGGCAACCGACAUUUAAAAAUUCGCGAGUCCAACAGAGAGCCCUUUUGCAGCAAAUACCCGCUUUGGUGAUGUGUGCCGCCCGUGGACUCGUGACACAGCAGGCCAGGCUGCGUGGGUGCAGAAUGACCUCGGAUGCGAUUCUCUUCUGGAAACAGGGGCAGCCUGGACCAAAGGUGGUUCCUGUGGAGGCGCUCGCCAGCAAAGAUGGCACAGGAGGUGUUUGACGCUUUGCUUACAGGACUUGGAUAACCCUCCCCCUCCCCUAGCAAAGGGACAGCUGUGCUAAAUACAGGAGACUUGGUGGGCAGAGAGAAAGUUGUGGGUGGCCAAAGGAUUUCUGUGUCUUUAAAAACCCUCUCCCAUCCCUGGCCCUCGCAUCAGUCUUUGUCUUGCAGGAGAAACUUGGUGUCUGAGAAGUGACUCCCACGGGCCCCCCUGCAGCUCCCUUUGGACCUGAGUGACACAGCUGGCUCUGCCCAUUGGACUCCAGUUGGCAUCCCUGAUGUCCUUUCUCUGCAGAAUUCUUCUGUGAAAUGGGCCAGAGUCACUCACCUUCCCGGCCAAGGCAACUUUGAGACCAAUGGCAACAGUUUUUCGAGAACUUUGGAAGCAGUAGGGUUGUGUACCCACUUGCUAACAGGCUAAAUCUUAGGGUCUCCCUAACCCACAGGAUUCUGGACGUGUGGAUCUGGAGGCCAGGGGGUGGCUUCCUGCUGGCGCACAGCAUUAAUGACCAGCGAAUGUUCAAAUGCAUGACACGCUACAUCCCUUUCCUGCUGGCCAGCUGCCUGGUCCUUCUGAGGCCUUCCAGGAGCCCGUAGGUGACUUUCAAACUCAGCUGUGCUCCUGAUUUGAAACCACUGGUUCUCAACCAAGGGUGGUUUUGUCCCCCUACCCAGCACCCCAGGGGCCAUUUGCAGAGUCUGGAGAUAUUUUCGGUUGAGGGGAGGGUACUAUAAGCAUCUAGUGGUAGAGAGCCAGGAUGCUGCUAAACGUCCUACAAUGCACAGGACAGGCCCCCACUGCAAAGGAUUAUCUAGCCCCAAAUGUCUGCAGCGUCAGGAUUGAGAAACUGUGCUUUUUUUCAACCUCUGCUGCCAGGUUGAAACAAGCAUGAACCCUCAUCACCCCCCUGCCCUCUCCCCAUUGCUUUAUUUAUCAAAGGGAGAAAAAAAAUCUGUUAUUUUUUCCAAGUGCAUUUCCCCCUGUAUCUUAUCAAGAACCACCAAGUUCAGCACACCCUUGAUUAGUCACUUCCAUUAACAGUGUUUAUUUUGGGGUUUGUGUUUAUUUUUGAAACGUGGUCACCCUCGUCCCCCCUCUCUUCCUUACGCACUAGUGGUGUGCGGCCAGCUUUCUAGCACGGUCUGGUCCACAUUUUCCUCCAUCCAUAAACCCACUGGGCCAGCUUCUGAGGAGGGAGGGCCAGCCUCUCCUCCCUCCACUGGGGGUUGGGGGAAGGCUGCCACUCCUGGAGUUUCUCUUAAAGUGGCAAUGGGGCAAUUGUCGUCUUCCCUCUGAUUUCUCAGAUACGCUUGAAAAUCCUUUUCAUUAGUGACUCUGUGGACCAACCGACCCGUGACAGAGCUGAGCCUUUACUCCCAGCCGUCCGCGUUCCGUGAAACCGAGGACGCGCGGUGGUUUUCUCCACUGAGUCAGAGGCAAGGACUUGUGGGUCUCUCCCGCUUCUCUCCACCCAUCCCUCCUCACUGCAGGCGAGUCUCUGGGUUAUAUUUAAGCGUUUCUGAGUCAUCGAGAGCCGAUUCCUUCUCCUCUCGGCCACCCACCCUCCACCCUCCCAAAUGGCAGUGGGAAUUCAGGGUUUAUGGCUGAGUUACCCCGGAGCUCAGAGGGGAUCUCUGCACAGCUUUGGGGGGCGUCUUCCUCUUUGAUCACCCGCUGCCCACCAUCCCUGCCGCUCCUCCCGGGGUUCCAGCAGCCACCACCUCCCCAGGAGGCACGUACAGAGCCCCUCAGCCCAUGAAGUCCCUCCCCGAUUUGGGGGGCGGGUCUCAUUGCUAGUCUUGGACAUAAGCACCCACGCACCCAAUGGCUGCAGCGAAACCCCCGCCCAAGGCUGCUCUGAGGCAGGCAAUCUGCACAGAAGGCCCAGGUACCCUCCCCCUCCCCCCUUACUCCUUCCUGGGACAUUUAUUUGAAUCCCACCGGGGAACUGGUUACUGUGGAAUAUUUAUUUGUUUAAACAUGGGUGGUUCCUACAGAGGAGGGUGUCAGGUUUCAAGGGUGGAGGAACAGUUGCAAACAGAGAGUGGGUGGUCUGGACAUGAAGCAGGCCGGGGUGGGGGUCAGAGAACCCAGGCCUUUUUAGGUUUGUAGGUGAAAAUGCUGAGUGACUAUUGCCUCAUUCUUGGCCCUUUUAUCAUGUUAUGUAAGACAGAGUGACUUGGUGUGGUUGGGUGGUGUUCAGACUCUGGGACAGCCUUUUGGUAGAUUGUUGAAAAGAGUAUUUGGAAAUCACUGGGCAAUGACUGGGCAAUCACUCUGAUUAAUUUAUCCUGAGGGCUUUGAUGACUGUCUGAGUGCCUGGGGAGGAUCGGAAGGGUGCAGGCUGGUUCUAACUGCAGCCCCACCUCUAAGAUUCUGAAAGAUUCUUAAGGGCUAGUGCACUAUUGGAAUAGCAGAGCCUCUUUCCUAAAACCGCUUGAGUUGUUGACUAGAAUGAAUGGUCCUGCCUUGUGUCCUGGGGCCAGCCUCCUUUCCGGGUUAAACUAGCAGAAACAUAUCUCUGAUAAGUUUUGGGGUUCACAUCAGCCCUGAAUGACAGAGUUUGGAGUUUUGUAUUUGGCAGGUAACGGUCCAAGUAAACCCAAGAUGGAGGGGAAACCAGAGGUAUAGUUGAGAUCACUGCUCUCCGGUCCAUGGUUUUCCAAAACCUGGAAGUAGCAGCAAUAUAGUGUGUUGUCCUUAAGCCUCUUCCACAGCUUCUCAGCUACAGAAUUGGAAAGUGCAGAGGAAGGCUAUUAGUUUCCACAGAUGCACUGCUGAAAAGAUCCAGUGUUUUGCCAGGAGAUGCUUUUUGGAGGGAAAGCACCAGGGGAGGUUCUGGAGCAUGCAGUGACUAACAGAGUUAAAUACAAGAGAUCCGGUAGAGAUAAUAGUGAGUGACUGUCUUCUAACGUCCUACCAAGGGGAAAAGGAGAUGGGAUUCAUGGAGCAAUGUGGAAGUAGGUCAAACAUCAGAAAUCAUCUCGUAAUACUGAAAGUGAUAGUGCCGAGAGGGGCUGAAGUAUCCCUUUUUUAAAAUUAGGAAGGAGAGGAAUGCUUUUUACCAAGUCUUAAGUACUGUUCUUUCUGGACAGAGAAAAAGACUGUCCCUAGAUGAAUAGCUUCAUCAAGGAAACCUUGUUAAAAAUUAGCGAUGUCACGUACAUGCUGAAAUAUUUAGGGCUGAAGGGGCCUGCUGUCUGCAUUUUACCUUGACAUAUGUUUAAAAAGUAAGAUGGGUCGAUGGACGGAUAAAUGCAUAGAUGUGUGAUGAAACAUAGUGGCAUCUUGACGUCACAGAGUCUAGGUGGGUAUGCAGGUAUAACAUUUCUAUGUGUUUGGACGUUUUCAAAUAAAAUAUUGGAGGAAAGUACCAAGCCCUGGGCCACCCAUGGUAAUUCAGAUUCAGUGAGUUGGUGAUGAGGUCUAGGAAUGUUCUGAGCUUUGCAAGGGAUUCUGAUGAGUCAAGUCUGUUGGGGCCCAUGUGGAAUAGGUUGGUUUUCCUCAAACUUGGAUACGCACAGGAAACCCCUGGAGAUUCUGUCAAAUGCAGGGUCUGAUCCAGCAGGUCUGGAGUGGGGCCUGAGUCUACAUUUCUCACAAGCUCCCAGGUGAUGCUGAGGCUGCCCGUGCCUGGACCAUACCCUGGGCAAGAAGGAAGAGAGAACUCUUCCGUGUUCUCUGCAUCUGAGAAGUCCAGUGGGUCUCAGCUUGGGUUUCACAUUGGAAUCAUCUGGGUAGCUUUAAAAUAAACUGGAUGGCUGGGAGUGCGGGGGUCUCACCCCCAGAGAUUCUGGUUAAUUGGCCCGGGCUGCAGCAUGGGCAAUGAGAUUGAAGACCCCUCAGAUGAUUCUAAUGUGCAAGCGCUGAUUUCAUGUCAGGAAGGGAAUCGAUGGAAUAUUAAAUCUCAGGAAAUGAACUUUUGCACAGAAAGACGCUGCGGACCCUCGUCACCCACGUGUGCAGAGGUUUCCAGCCACGAAAGACUCAAAGCCACUCACCUCCUUUCCCUCAUGAUGAGAAUGACUGACAGCCAGCACUGAUUGAGUGUCAGGCGAUUUUUGUUAGUCCGUUUCAUCAUCACAGUACCCCAUGAGGCAGGCGUUAGUAUCCUAUCUUAGAGAUGGGGAAAUUGAGCUUGGUUGAGUUCAGUGACUGGCCCAAGGUAACACAGCUAAUAAAUAAGACUUGGGCGGAGGUAUGAACUAGGUCCGCCUGACUUCAAAGGCCAUGCUUUUUAACUAUCAUAUUACUCUGUUGUCCGCACGAUCUUUGCCAAGAAAUUAGAAAACUAUAGCCCGUGGGCAGGUCGAGUCUGGCCAGCUGCCUGUUUUUAUAAAUAAAGUUUUAUUGGAACACAGCCCCGCCUCUUCAUCUAUGUCUUGUCUGCAUCUGCUUUCGUGCUAUAAUGGCAGAGUUGAGCAUUUGCAGCAGAGACCCUGGGGCCUGCAAAGCCGAAAAUAUUUAUCUCUGGCCCCUGACAGAAAAGAGUUGGGUGACCCUCGAUGGAUUGGUGAGACAGCUAGCACAGAGCCGGGGAGCAAUCCUCGGCUGUGCUCCGAGCAGAAGGAAUAACCCAUGGAGAAUGAACUUGAACUCACGGUCCCUGUAGCUCUGGUUUCUGCUGACGUUUUACUUCGAUCUCGUGGCCUGCGUUCUACUCCAAAAGGGUUACAACUUGCUUCCUUGGAACAGAUUUUAUUUUCACGCCAAAAGUUUUGAUCUGUUUUAAGAGCAAAAGGUCUUGCUCCCGAAGCCAGGGCUGUCACAGGGCUCCCUGCAGAGUGGGGCAAGGGAGACCAGCUGCCUGCCACCUUCUGUGGCAGCACGGUGGGAGGCUUGCGUGGAAAAGCCUGGAGCCCUGUGGCUCCUUGGAGGCAGCAAGAGGCUUCCGUCCCUUCCCACCAGCCAUCCACCAAGAAACCCUGUCAAGAGGUCAGGAGGGAAGAGAGAGGGAGGAAAUGCCAAUCAAUCCAUCAAAGCCCCACCCUCCUGCGCUUCCAGCCGGUUAGCCGGGCCUGAGCAUCCUUGGGGGCGGGGUGGGGGGGUGGCGGGGUGCAGGCGCAUGGAGGGGAAGUGCAUUUGGUAAUGAUUCUAGAUUUCCUGUUUGGUUCCUGGGGUGGGGUGGGGGGGAGCUGGGCUAUGCUAGCUCCUAGUCUAUGUGGACUCUUGCACGUUGCGUUCUUUCUUUUCUACCGGUUGUUGUUUCUUUGUUUUUUCUCUUUACUACUUUUCUUCCUCUGAGGUUUGUUUGCAUUUUUUUGUUGUUAAUUGGUGUGAGGAGGGCCUCCUUCAGGAAAAUUGGUGGAAAAGGAGAGGUGAGGGGCAAGGAGAGGCCAGGAUACCCUGCCUGGAUUCCUGGGGCAUUGGCCUGGGUACCAUAGAAAUUUUGUCCCCCCUGGACAGACGUAGUAGGAGAGCUGUAAAGAAUCUGUUUAGGUAGACAAACGUUAUGCAGUGCUUACUGCGUGCAUGGGAUACAAAGGCACACAAAAAAGGCCCAUCUUCUGCUGUAAGAGGUCAAAGAUGAGAGAGAGAGAGUUCAAAGCAGCUUGAUAAACUCAAUGGAAGAAGUAGGUAGGAUGGAGAUGGGUGUAUGGGGAGGGGCUCAGGAAUCCUUUAGCUCAGUUUUCUCUUCCAAACAAGACUGAGCCUUAGUCUCGGAGAUGCGAGGGGCACCUCUCACCAAAUGACAGUCAGAGCUAAUAAGACCAGACAUCACUGCGAAGUCCCCGGCACAACUGCCUGGUGUUACCGGGCAGGUGGACCGUUUGCUGCUCCCUUGGAUACAAGCCUUAGGCCGGGAGCUCUGGGGCUGGAAUCCUGCGGCUGCUUUGGCCUCGGGGAGGCUGAGGCUCCGGGUAGCACAGAGGUGAUCUGCCUUCUUUUCAUUACAUAAGGACUUUGAUCCCUCCAACGAGCAGAAAAGAGAGUUCUCCCUUUUCAGCACCUUCUAAUAUCCUCCCCGCUGGCUGUGCUGGCCCUGCUGUCACCUCACCUUGAAGGAGAAAGGAUGUGUUCCCAGCUGGGCCCUUUCUCUUCCCGGUUUGAACUGGGAGUGAGCGAAGCUCAGGAAACAGAUUGUAGCCACAGGGCUCCGGCUGCACCUGAGCGCAUCAGGGGGACGGGAGGGGAGGUGGAGAGACACGGGGUCCUCGGUGCCACACGCUUCGCCCAGCUGACCUUUGCUGUCGGAGCUCCAGGCUGAGGGUUCGUUGUGGUGGAGCCAGGGAUGAUGGCCCAGCAGCUAUAGGACUGCAACUU